rnacentral:tRNA from 1 species
CUUAAAUAGUUUAUAUAAAAUAUUAACUUUGGGAGUUAAAGAACGGCUGCAAGUUGUUUUUGGG